rnacentral:rRNA from 1 species
UACAGAGGUCUCAAGCGUUGUUCGGAUUCAUUGGGCGUAAAGGGUGCGUAGGUGGCGCGGUAAGUCGGGUGUGAAAUUUCGGAGCUUAACUCCGAAACUGCAUUCGAUACUGCCGUGCUUGAGGACUGGAGAGGAGACUGGAAUUUACGGUGUAGCGGUGAAAUGCGUAGAGAUCAUGAGGAAGACCAGUGGCGAAGGCGGGUCUCUGGACAGUUCCUGACACUGAGGCACGAAGGCCAGGGGAGCAAACGGG